GAGCGAACGGGAUUAGAUACCCCGGUAGUCCUGGCCGUAAACGAUGGGUACUAGGUGUAGGAGGUAUCGACCCCUUCUGUGCCGGAGUUAACGCAAUAAGUACCCCGCCUGGGGAGUACGACCGCAAGGUUGAAACUCAAAGGAAUUGACGGGGGCCCGCACAAGCGGUGGAGUAUGUGGUUUAAUUCGACGCAACGCGAAGAACCUUACCAGGUCUUGACAUUGAUGGACAGAACCAGAGAUGGUUCCUCUUCUUCGGAAGCCAGAAAACAGGUGGUGCACGGUUGUCGUCAGCUCGUGUCGUGAGAUGUUGGGUUNNNNNNNNCAACGAGCGCAACCCCUAUCUUAUGUUGCCAGUACUUCGGGUGGGAACUCGUGAGAGACUGCCGCAGACAAUGCGGAGGAAGGCGGGGAUGACGUCAAAUCAUCAUGCCCCUUAUGACCUGGGCUACACACGUACUACAAUGGGAGUUAAUAGACGGAAGCGAAAUCGCGAGAUGGAGCAAACCCGAGAAACACUCUCUCAGUUCGGAUCGUAGGCUGCAACUCGCCUACGUGAAGUCGGAAUCGCUAGUAAUCGCAGGUCAGCAUACUGCGGUGAAUACGUUCCCGGGCCU
rnacentral:rRNA from 1 species